rnacentral:rRNA from 1 species
AGAUCGUUUCAUCCUACAUGGAUAACUGUGGUAAUUCUAGAGCUAAUACAUGCAAUGAAGCUGUUCUGGCCUCGUGUCAGCAGCGCAGUUAUUAGAUUAAAACCAAUAUAGGCCUUCGGGUCUAUCAAAACUUGUGAUGAAUCUGAAUAACCGAAGCUAAGCACAUGGUCUCGUACCGGUGCUAGAUCUUUCAAGUGUCUGAUCUAUCAGCUUGUCGUUAGGUUAUGUUCCUAACGUGGCUUCGACGGGUAACGGGGUAUCAGGGUCCGAUACCGGAGAGGGAGCCUGAGAAAUGGCUACCACAUCCAAGGAAGGCAGCAGGCGCGCAAAUUACCCACUCCCAGUUCGGGGAGGUAGUGACGAAAAAUAACGAUGCGGGAGCAUAAUGCUUCCCGUAAUCGGAAUGAGUACACUUUAAAUCCUUUAACGAGGAUCAAUUGGAGGGCAAGUCUGGUGCCAGCAGCCGCGGUAAUUCCAGCUCCAAUAGCGUAUAUUAAAGUUGCUGCGGUUAAAAAGCUCGUAGUUGGAUCUGGGUGUUUCGAUGAGUGGUGCAUCUAUUCGAUGUCUACUACUCCAUCGACACCACAAGCCAACCAUGUCCUUCUAUACCCUUCACUGUGGCGUAGAUAAUGGACGGUUGGAACGUUUACUUUGAAAAAAUUAGAGUGCUCAAAGCAGGCGUAAGGCCUUGAAUAAUGGUGCAUGGAAUAAUGGAAUAGGACCUCGGUUCUAUUUGUUGGUUCUUUUUAAGAGCUCGAGGUAAUGAUAAAGAGGAACAGACGGGGGCAUUCGUAUUGCGACGUUAGAGGUGAAAUUCUUGGAUCGUCGCAAGACGAACUACUGCGAAAGCAUUUGCCAAGAAUGUUUUCAUUAAUCAAGAACGAAAGUUAGAGGUUCGAAGGCGAUCAGAUACCGCCCUAGUUCUAACCAUAAACGAUGCCAACCAGCGAUCUGUCGGUGUUUAUUCUAACGACUCGACAGGCAGCUUCCGGGAAACCAAAGUGCUUAGGUUCCGGGGGAAGUAUGGUUGCAAAGCUGAAACUAAAGAAUGACCG